UUACAGGAUCCUUCGGCAGACGGAUAAACAGGAGAACUGCUCAUCCAGCCUUGGCUACAGUGUGACGAACAAAAGCCAGAGAUGCUUAAUCGAGGAUAUUAACAGUAGAAUCACAGAAGGAACUGGAUCCAUGGGAAACAGACCUGCCUGGUGAACUGGGCUCAAUUUCAACCCUGGUGAUUCCACUGCAGACAAAGCUGGCAGAGUAAAGCCUUCAUUUCUUCUCUAUGGCGGCCCACCAAACCCUUGCCUCAAAAAUCUUCAGUUUAUGCUGCUGGGACUGUGAGGAACCUGUUGUUGAGACCACCAAGGUUCCAAGCCAAGAGAACCAGACACCAACCUACAAUUUGCUGAAGACUGAGAAGAAUGAGUUAGGCGAACAAAACCUCAAGAGAGCUACUACACAGCCCGUCAUUGGCCAAGAAAAGCACUCCUCUGCCAGCAGUGAUUAUGAAGAGCUGACCGCAUACAAUAUACAAACAGGAUACCCUAAAAGGAAUCUAAACCGCUACUACCAGGAACACUGGGCCCUCCGACCGUGUCUCAUCGGGAGACCCUGAGGGUUCUAGUGGCAGUUCCACACAGGCUCUGAGCUGCUCAGCUACUGGAGGGUCUCCAUGAGGAUGAAGAAGGCAGUGGACAGGAGUCAUGAAGACCGAUUCAGAAACUCCACCACAAGGAGGGAAGAGGUCUGAGCCAUCCCUGUGCCACUGGUUUUCCAGAGUGCCAGAUGCUCCCCAGUAACGGAAAAGAGAGUGAAGCCACUGAUGUCCCUG